rnacentral:rRNA from 1 species
UACGUAGGGUGCGAGCGUUGUCCGGAAUUAUUGGGCGUAAAGGGCUCGUAGGCGGUUUGUCGCGUCGGGAGUGAAAAUCCAGGGCUUAACUCUGGACUGGCUUCCGAUACGGGCAGACUAGAGGUAUGCAGGGGAGAACGGAAUUCCUGGUGUAGCGGUGAAAUGCGUAGAUAUCGGGAGGAAUACCGAUGGCGAAGGCAGGUCUCUGGGCUGACACUGACGCUCAUGCACGAAAGCGUGGGGAGCAAACAGG